rnacentral:rRNA from 1 species
GACUAACGCUGGCGGUAUGCCUUAGACAUGCAAGUCGAACGAGUUUCCGGGCUUGCUCGGAAAUUAGUGGCGAACAGCUGAGUAACGCGUAGGUGACCUACCCCGUAGUGAGGAAUAACUGCCCGAAAGGGUAGCUAAUACCUCAUGUUGAGGCGCUUUCAUUAGUGUCUCCAAAGCAGCAAUGCGCUAUGGGCGGGGCCUGCGUUCGAUUAGCUAGUUGGUGAGGUAAUGGCUCACCAAGGCGACGAUCGAUAGGUGGUCUGAGAGGACGAUCACCCAGACUGGGACUGAGACACGGCCCAGACUCCUACGGGAGGCAGCAGUAGGGAAUCUUCCGCAAUGGACGAAAGUCUGACGGAGCAACGCCGCGUGAGUGAUGAAGGCUUUCGGGUCGUAAAACUCUGCUGUUAGGGAAGAACAAGUGCUAGUUGAAUAAGCUGGCACCUUGACGGUACCUAACCAGAAAGCCACGGCUAACUACGUGCCAGCAGCCGCUGUAA